ACAUUAUGAUGAUGAUGACAACGAUGACGAUAGUGGCAAUCAUUUAUUAAGCAUUGCCCUGGCCUAAGACACCACAUGGGUCAUUUCUUCCAGGCUCCAACUUGCUUCUGCUUUGCCAUAUGGUAACACGCCGUAUUAUGGAAGCACCAUCAUUACCGCCAUUUGCAGGGGAAGCCUAAAGAGAUAAAUGCCAGCCAGCAUCCCUGUCUCUGGGGCCCUGGAGAGGCCUUCAACACACCUGGCCUCACUGCCCUGUGGCUUCAACAAAGAGGCCGAGCAUCUCCUAUAAACCUUGAGGUCCAUGGAUGACAUAGCGGAAUGAUGGAUUUCAGAAAAGGCAGGUGCUUCCCACUCUUUAAAUUUUUGUUUAUUCUUUCCAAGUUUCCCAUCAACAGCCCUGCAGUAAAAAUUCAGGGCUUCAGAGACAAAUAUUUCAUGAGUACAGACUGUGAUGAGGAAAAGCAAGCCAUUCCCUCUCUAUCAGGAUCCAGAGCACACUGCUGUUACGACUCCAGAACCGAUAAGGAAGCUAUGUGUGGAAGUAUGAGCUCAGGUCGCCUUCUGACCCUCUGUGACGGUCUAUUUCAGGCAGUUAUGGAUAGAUAACAUUACAGACACUGAAAGAAAAACAAGAUGUCUGAGAAGGGGAAGGGAGCACCGUUUUCAUACCUGGCUUGGCUUAGCUGCACGAGAGAAGAAAAGGCCGUGGCUGAAUCCAUCUCCAGGAGCAGCUGUCCCCCUGCACCGUUUGAAUUGCGAGGAAAGAGUUACAGUUUUAGAAAAGAAUACCUGGUAUUUAAGAAUUCGAAUUUCUCGCUGCAGAACUAGAUCUCACUUCUACAACAAGGACCCUCUGCUUAGUACUUGGACUCCCCCCCAAAAAAACAAAAUGAAUAUUUAUUAACGUUAGAAGAACCUGGCGCAGGUCGGUCCGUGCAUCCGAAUCUGCCAAAACGCUUCCAAAUCUCUUCCCUGGCAUUUAAAAGAAAUCUAUUUUUAUACAUUCUCAUGAAUUU
rnacentral:lncRNA from 1 species